rnacentral:rRNA from 1 species
AGUGAACGCUGGCGGUAGGCCUAACACAUGCAAGUCGAACGGCAGCACAGUAAGAGCUUGCUCUUACGGGUGGCGAGUGGCGGACGGGUGAGGAAUACAUCGGAAUCUACUUUUUCGUGGGGGAUAACGUAGGGAAACUUACGCUAAUACCGCAUACGACCUACGGGUGAAAGCAGGGGUUCUUCGGACCUUGCGCGAUUGAAUGAGCCGAUGUCGGAUUAGCUAGUUGGCGGGGUAAAGGCCCACCAAGGCGACGAUCCGUAGCUGAUCUGAGAGGAUGAUCAGCCACACUGGAACUGAGACACGGUCCAGACUCCUACGGGAGGCAGCAGUGGGGAAUAUUGGACAAUGGGCGCAAGCCUGAUCCAGCCAUACCGCGUGAGUGAAGAAGGCCUUCGGGUUGUAAAGCCCUGUUGUUGGGAAAGAAAAGCAGCAGGUUAAUACCCCGCUGUUCUGACGGUACCCAAAGAAUAAGCACCGGCUAACUUCGUG